GGCCACAAUACAUUGGAAUACUGGUUCACAUAUGAUCACUGAAGUUAAGCAUUGUGGAGCCUGAUCAUUAUCUAGAUGGGUUACCGUUUGGGAAUACCAGGUGUUGUAA